rnacentral:rRNA from 1 species
UGGGGAAUUUUGAACAAUGGGGGAAACCCUGAUGCAGCGACGCCGCGUGAUUUAGAAGGCCUUCGGGUUGUAAAAAUCUUUUCUAUGGGAAGAAAAUGACAGUACCAUAGGAAUAAGGACCGGCUAAUUACGUGCCAGCAGCCGCGGUAAUACGUAAGGUCCGAGCGUUGUCCGGAAUCAUUGGGCGUAAAGGGUACGUAGGCGGGUAAGCAAGUUAGAAGUGAAAUCCUAUAGCUCAACUAUAGUAAGCUUUUAAAACUGCUCAUCUUGAGGUAUGGAAGGGAAAGUGGAAUUCCUAGUGUGGCGGUGAAAUGCGCAGAUAUUAGGAGGGAUACCGGUGGCGAGGGCGACUUUCUGGCCAUAACCUGACGCUGAGGUACGAAAGCGUGGGUAGCAAACAGG